UACGAAGGGGGCUAGCGUUGCUCGGAAUUACUGGGCGUAAAGGGCGCGUAGGCGGAUCGUUAAGUCAGAGGUGAAAGCCCAGGGCUCAACCCUGGAAUUGCCUUUGAUACUGGCGAUCUUGAGUACGGGAGAGGUGUGUGGAACUCCGAGUGUAGAGGUGAAAUUCGUAGAUAUUCGGAAGAACACCAGUGGCGAAGGCGACACACUGGCCCGUUACUGACGCUGAGGAGCGAAAGCGUGGGGAGCGAACAGG
rnacentral:rRNA from 1 species